AAAGCUCAUAACUGAUAUUAUCCAUAGAAAUAAAUCAAGAAAAUCUAUGGCAGUUGCGUUAUUUGUCCAAGAUAUCAAGAACAAAUUUCUAGAUCUAAUUAAAUUCCUUAUUUCUUUUGGUAAAGGAAAUGAUGAGCAUGAAAAUUUAAACAUUGAAAAUGAGAAG